ensembl:snoRNA SNORD36 Small nucleolar RNA SNORD36
GUGCAAUGAUGCAACAAUUUCUUCACCUGAAAUCGCUGUGAAGAGCAAAAUCGAGCUUUUUAACACUGAGUCACA